AGAGUUUGAUCCUGGCUCAGGAUGAACGCUGGCGGCGUGCCUAAUACAUGCAAGUCGAACGGGGACCUCUUGAAUUCGUUCGAGAGGUUCUAGUGGCGAACGGGUGAGUAACGCGUUGGUGACCUGCCCCGAAGAGGGGGAUACCAGUCCGAAAGGACUGCUAAUACCCCAUGAAGUCAAAUGGAUUAGAAGCCAUAUGACAAAAGGAGAAAUCCGCUUUGGGAGGGGCCUGCGUCCCAUCAGCUAGUUGGUAGGGUAAAAGCCUACCAAGGCGAAGACGGGUAGGGGACCUGAGAGGGUGACCCCCCACACUGGCACUGAAACACGGGCCAGACACCUACGGGUGGCAGCAGUAGGGAAUCUUGCACAAUGGGCGCAAGCCUGAUGCAGCAACGCCGCGUGCGCGAUGAAGGCCUUCGGGUUGUAAAGCGCUUUUCGAGGGGAUGAGGAAGGACAGUACCCUCGGAAUAAGUCUCGGCUAACUACGUGCCAGCAGCCGCGGUAAAACGUAGGAGGCAAGCGUUAUCCGAAUUUACUGGGCGUAAAGCGCGUGCAGGCGGUUUGGUAAGUUGGAUGUGAAAGCUCCUGGCUCAACUGGGAGAGGCCGUUCAAAACUACCAGACUAGAGGGCAGUAGAGGGAGGUGGAAUUCCCGGUGUAGUAGUGAAAUGCGUAGAUAUCGGGAGGAACACCAGUGGCGAAGGCGGCCUCCUGGACCGUACCUGACGCUCAGACGCGAAAGCUAGGGGAGCGAACGGGAUUAGAAACCCCGGUAGUCCUAGCCGUAAACGAUGUAGACUUGGUGUUGGUGGUGUGAAAUCUAUCAGUGCCAUAGCUAACGCAGUAAGUCUACCGCCUGGGGAUUACGAUCGCAAGAUUAAAACUCAAAGGAAUUGACGGGUCCCCGCACAAGCAGCGGAGCGUGUGGUUUAAUUCGAUGCUACGCGAAGAACCUUACCUGGGUUUGACAUAUAGGUGGUAGGGAGCCGAAAGGUGACCGACUCUUCGGAGAGCCUAUACAGGUGAUGCAUGGCUGUCGUCAGCUCGUGCCGUGAGGUGUCCGGUUAAGUCCGGUAACGAGCGCAACCCUCACUGUAUGUUAUACCUGUCUCUUAUACACAUCUGACGCUGCCGACGAAGAGGAUAGUGUAGAUCUCGGUGGUCGCCGUAUCAU
rnacentral:rRNA from 1 species